ACCUGUUCCCAUAUGAUCACCAAAGUUAAACAACAUCAAGCAUGGUCAAUACUUAGAUGGGUGACCACUUGUGAAUACCUGGUGCUGUAAG